CUAUAGAACUAUCAAAUUUUCUUUGUUCACUUUCAAUUUCAUGAUUGUGAUGUGAAACACACAUUCGUUAUAGCCGAUCCAGUCCAUAAUGGUUUACCGGUGCAAAAGGCAAAUGUUUGUGUCCUGUUGACUGCAUGUCGUGGUUUCUGAUGAUCGUGUUCCCCCUUUUCUAGCUGAUCUGUAUAGUAUAAGGUAUAUAACAAUAUGAUAGUUACAAUUAGGCAUGGAUGCUAUUUAAGCAGUGCUGCAUAGAAUCCCCUGCAUUUAUAAGUGUACAAUCCCUUGACUGGCCAGUGCGAAAACUUACAUUAUUUGUGUUUGGUUUAUUUUGGUACAGCCAAAGCAAAGAAAAAAUCCCACUAAUCUUGCAAUAGUAGUCUCGAAAUUAUAUUUGACUAAGUGGACAUUUAUAUGAUUUUCCCUUGCAGAGAUAUAUAUUCAUUUUUUCUCUAAUUUUUCCUGCCUUUCUGAUGGUACUGUGGCAUUAGUCCAUAAGAUACACCUGUGUUUUUUGUUUAUUUUUCUUAAUUUUUAUAUUCUUCGACUCAUCUGUGUGAUCAUCAAAUGUCUGUGAUUCCUUGCAGCAAUGGCUUUGAUCUGGUACUUCCGUGCACCCUCAAUUUAUAGGGUUGUUCCAGUUUUCUCCUCUGCUGUGCACGGAGUAUAUGGUACAAUAUUGUUUCUACGGUUUCUACAUAGUGCUCAAGCAAUUUCUACACAGUUCUUCUACAUGAUUACCAAGCAUUUUUUUCACCCGAUUUCUGUCAUGGGUUCUAUUAUCUAUUGGAAUUCCUGAUGUUAUUUUCGUUUUCCAUUUAUUGGCUUCAACGGAAUCCAUGGAACCGAAUUUGGUGUAAAAUCGUUGUUGUUUGCUGUAAUUGGCUCAGACAAUCUAUUCGUGCUUACAUUUGUUGUUUACAAACUGUUGACUAGCGUUUGUUUUGCAGGUUGCGCUGCUGUUUGGUAUUGAGGUUCUUUCUUCGCGUUGUGCUUGCCGAGUCUCUCAGAUAGCUAUAUGAGUUACACCUUGACGUUGGAAAUGUAGGCUUACCUGUGGCUUAUUUUGGUCUUCUUAACAAAGCUUAAGACAUCCUUUUCCAUGAGGAGGUGGUGCGAAUUUCACGGGGCCGUGUGCCAAAUCGUGUUUAAGCUAUGGAUGUCGGUGAGAUUCCAUCCAGGGUCAUGAUCAAGGCGGCAUUCACUGCAGUUUCCAAAGUCAUUCACAACACCAUACCCACCAAGGGCGAAUAGAGAAGUGCCGGUGACAUUCUCUCCGACAACAUGUCAUAAACAUCAUUCCGAUGGAGAAGUCCGACUAUACAACCAACAACCUUUGACAUGUGGUACUAAUGACAGUUUACAUAGUGUUUUUAGCUAUCGAAUAGUUUUUUUUCCAUUUGAUGUUUUAUUACCGUCGAUAUCUAUAGAUGCUUAAUAUAGUACUUUACAAACUAUUUACCGGAGCCGCGAGCCAUGGCAAGCCCCAAAAUAUUGCUCUACUUCCUCUUUUCUUCAUUGAUUUCA